ensembl:lncRNA
GGAACAAAGAUCAGGGUCUCAGGGUUCUCUGCUCCGGAGGAAAGUUGGGGAGGACCAGGAUGAACCCUGAAGUGUGUCUUCAUAGGACUCAAUAUGAGCCCUUUCCUCUGAUGUUUAGAUGACCAACCAGAUCUCCUUCCACAUUCCACUUAUCACAAACACACGAACACACGAACACACGCGUGUUUCCGGUGUCAGCGGAUAAUUCGGGGAUAUUCUGAUCUGUGUCACACUGGAAGUCUCUGAUCCAGUGACGCACGCUGGGCUCGGAUUGAGCGCUCCGGGAUCCGGUUAAAACGGAACAUUUGAGUGAGUUCCCGAGCUCCCUGCUCGCGCUCAACUACGCCGAACUGGAGGCUGUUCUCCAAGGAUACAGAAAAGGGUUAAUUAUCGGAAUAUUACAACACUCCGCGCACUAAUAAGCACGUGAAUGACUCCGCAUUGAAGCUACGCGAGGGGAGUUCGGAGCGCAGGAAAAACGGUCAAAUAGCGGCUGGAGUCUGGUGCGUUAACCGACGACCUUUAGACCGGAUCCGCCGGAGGUCUUCGCCCGAACCCUCGGACCACCAGGCUGUAAGAAACCCGACCUCGGCUCAGCUUCAGCGGACUUCCUCACCUGUUUUAGCGAAACGACGGCAGAAACUUUUCACUUUCUCGCGGCGGCAGUUUGAAGUUUUUUUCUCCUUUUGCUGAUAUUCCGGGAAAAUGCCGGUUCCUCCUCCGGGGACGAGGAUCUGCGAACGCGUCCGAACACAGUUCUGAUUUGAUGUCCGCAGUCGUGAACUUUCGGAUGUUUUAGUACUUUUGUCGGACUCCUCGCUAGUGACGCUCCUCCCGGUUUCCCUCCGCUCCCUGAAUGCCACAUUCUCUCCGCUACGUUGUCCCGAGCAUCAAGUUACACGGGACCACAACACAGCAUCCGGUCUAGACCUUCAAAUUGGUGGUGCGUUCAGGUGUGAGUGCAUCUGUAAACAUGUCAGAUGAAUAAAAAGGUGAGAAAUUCCACAACAAAUAAAUGAUUCCUGCU